GACGAACGCUGGCGGCGUGCUUAACACAUGCAAGUCGAACGGAAAGGCCCUGCUCUUGUGGGGUGCUCGAGUGGCGAACGGGUGAGUAACACGCGAGUAACCUGCCCCUGACUUUGUGAUAACUUCAGGAAACUGGGGCUAAUACCGGAUAUGAGCUCCUGCUGCAUGGUGGGGGUUGGAAAGUUUCGGCGGUUUGGGAUGGACUCGCGGCUUAUCAGCUUGUUGGUGGGGUAGUGGCUUACCAAGGCUUUGACGGGUAGCCGGCCUGAGAGGGUGACCGGCCACAUUGGGACUGAGAUACGGCCCAGACUCCUACGGGAGGCAGCAGUGGGGAAUAUUGCACAAUGGGCGGAAGCCUGAUGCAGAAACGCCGCGUGCGGGAUGACGGCCUUCGGGUUGUAAACCGCUUUCGCCUGUGACGAAGCGUGAGUGACGGUAAUGGGUAAAGAAGCACCGGCUAACUACGUG
rnacentral:rRNA from 1 species